ACUAGACAGAGAAGAGGCAAAUGUGUUUGGCUGGGCUCUCUUCUCUCAGGCCUCUGGCUGAAGCCUGGCUCCUACUCUGAGAGGAGUGGCCAGUGAUUUCAGCUGCAGCUGUUCCCUGAGGGAGAACCGCUUAAGGAACUUUCCUGAUGGGGGAGUGAGGAGUCUGGGCUGUGGAGUGCCCUUUCAACCCUGGAUUCUACAUGUCUGGGAGCUUCUGCAAAUAUUCCUGUAUUUGGAUGGAACACAAUUGAAAUCCCUUCCAGAAGUGAGUGUCAGAUGAAGGGGCCAUUCUCUCUUUGAGCUGAAUUGUUACUUUGUCUCAGCCAAGGACAGCUGCGGUGGGCCCUGGCAGGAGAUGGAGCAGCUGUGGGGCCUCUAACCUAUGCCUUCCUCCCUGCGGGACGGUAAUUUCUCUGUAAUCUGGGCUGGGGUUCCCUUCUCACUGUCGCUUUCCUGAAGUCUCACGACCUCUGUGGUCAUUCUCCUGUCCUGCUCACAGUGUCAAGUGCCCCCACCAGAGGACCUGCCCCAGGAUCCCAGGCGUGCUCUACCCUAGCUGGAGAACUGAGGUUGGAUAGGAGCUGGAGCUAGAAGAGAGGCUGAGUCUAAAGGGGUGAGCACCCUGGGUUGGGGGCUAGAGAACAGCUUUGGGACAUAGGCUGUAGCCUGGCUUUCAUGCCAGGAGGAAACACAACACCCUUGCCAGGUGACACCGUAUCUUCAGUAAAGUGGGUCUAUCAACAGAAGCGAUUAUAGAGAUCUCAUGGAGACUCAGAGGAACACAAGAGGGAAACUCCAUUGGCCUCGGAAAGCCUCAGUGAACUAGAACUUGGAGCGCAUCAAUUAUAAGAUCUUUGGUGAGAAUAUGGGUGAGAUGCGAUGUCAAGACUGAGGGAGGAGGGGAGAAAGAAGACACAGGCAAGCAGGAUGGCCUGAGACCAGUUGAGUGAACUGGGGAAAGUCCCUAUUCCUGUACAACUAGUGUCAUGGACACCUGCCCAGAGCCAGGGCCUCUUACACACUCAGCAGGCUCAAGGCUCCCCCACCUCACCCCACCCCACUCCACCCGCGUGUGCUUCAUAAAGUCUCCAUGCAGUCUUUCUAAUGGGUUCUAUCAUUGCCCCUUUGCUUAAAAUCCCCACUGACUUGACAUGAAACAUAAUUGCUCAGGCUUGGGGCUUCCUGUGGGCCCAUAGGGUGUGGCCCGUACACAGAAGGCCCUACUCCAGACAGCCUGGCUCUUAGAGAAAAGAAGGAAUGGAGUCAAGUGAUGAGGGUGGGGUCCAAGUGUCUUGGCCCUGAGCUGAGUCCUCCGAAGUCACGUGAGAGAGGGACCAGGUGAGGAAACCUGGCACUUGAGUGGGGGAGGCUGUGCCAAGGGGGAAAUUCUAGCUGGGUACUGGGCCAAACAAAGCUUAGUACAUCUUCCAGUUAAAAUGAGGUCACCGUAGGAAGAGGCAAGGUUUCUUAACCUCGUCUGCCUUCUUGAGGGGGACUGCCCAGUUCCUUGUUCACCUGCUUUUUGAAACCAAGGCAUGGAGCUUGUCCCUUCUUGGGCAGACCUAAUUUCAUCUGGGAACAAAUGUCUCUCUCAGGCUAUGCUGGGUCCUGCCUCCUAUGCGUGGCGUCCAUUCCACUUCUGCGGGCCCGCAGGUCUCAGCCUCCCUGGAAAUACUAUCCCGCAACUGGCUGCACCCUGGCUCUUCCCAGGCCUCCUGGCCUUGGUGUUCCAUCCAUGCCUCUUCUGUGGCAUUGGGUGCCUACCAGUGACCACUGCUUGCUUGUACCUGAGCCCAGAAAAGGGCUUGCAUAGGGCUUUGUAGGCACUGGGGGAGGGGGAGGGGGAGGGGAUACACUGUGUAUGGGGGGGAGGGAGGGCGGGUAGGAGAGGUAGGUGGCUCACUGACCUAUCCUCACCACGCACCUUCCCAUGUGCAUGCCCACUCACCCCAGGUCUUGUGUGAUGCCUGCAAUUUGAUGGGUAGAGCAGCCAAUGAAGAAGAGCGGCACGCUGAAGAGCAGACACAACAGCGAGCCGAGGAGGCAGAGGGCACUGCACUGCACCGGGCUCAGGUGGAGGCGCUUGACUAAGACACCUCCCAUCAUGAUGCCCACGAUGACCAGAGGGAUAGUGAGGCAGCCAAGGAGCAUGUUGGCAAAGGAGGCUGUGAUGGAAAACUGGCGUUCCAGGAACUUAGGCAGGAAGGUGGCCAUGCCCGCUACCAUGGAUGAGGUGCACACCUGGGACAGGACUACCAGCAAGAAGAUGGGGUGGCGCAGAUUCCGCAGCAGCACCCUAGGGAAGACUGUCGGGACAAGCGGGAAGGAGGUCAGCGUGGGCAGCCAGCCACAGUAUCCACAUCUGUCCAGCCCGCCCCAUCUGUUCCGUUCUCUCUCUUCCAUUCCGUUUAAGUCUAGCGUGUCCCAUGCUAUCACAUUACGUUGGACUCUUUUCCCGUCCUGCUCUAGUUUUGAAAUUCUCCUCACGCCUUUCAGUUCAGAGUUACGUGGGAGUUUAUUAAAUGUGUUUAUUUCUGUU
rnacentral:lncRNA from 1 species